AAAAAAAAAAAAAAAAAAAAAAAAAAAAAUUUAUAAAGA
rnacentral:ribozyme from 9 species